UACGUAGGUGGCAAGCGUUGUCCGGAUUUAUUGGGCGUAAAGGGUGCGUAGGCGGUCUAUUAAGUCAGUGCUGAAAUAUCCCGGCUUAACCGGGAGGGUGGCAUUGAUACUGAUGGACUUGAGUGGAGUUGAGGUAGGCGGAAUUGACGGUGUAGCGGUGAAAUGCUUAGAUAUCGUCAAGAACACCAAUAGCGAAGGCAGCUUACUGAGCUCUAACUGACACUGAUGCACGAAAGUGUGGGGAUCAAACAGG
rnacentral:rRNA from 1 species